rnacentral:rRNA from 1 species
CUGGUUGAUCCUGCCGGACCUGACUGCUAUCGGAUUGAUACUAAGCCAUGCGAGUCAUUGUAGCAAUACAAGGCAGACGGCUCAGUAACGCGUAGUCAAUCUACCCUAUGGACGGGAAUAACCUCGGGAAACUGAGAAUAAUGCCCGAUAGAACAUUAUGCCUGGAAUGGUUUAUGUUUCAAAUGAUUUAUCGCCAUAGGAUGGGACUGCGGCCUAUCAGUUUGUUGGUGAGGUAAUGGCCCACCAAGACUAUUACAGGUACGGGCUCUGAGAGGAGUAGCCCGGAGAUGGGUACUGAGACACGGACCCAGGCCCUAUGGGGCGCAGCAGGCGAGAAAACUUUGCAAUGUGCGAAAGCACGACAAGGUUAAUCCGAGUGGUUUCUGCUAAAGAAACCUUUUGUCAGUCCUAGAGACACUAACGAAUAAGGGGUGGGCAAGUUCUGGUGUCAGCCGCCGCGGUAAAACCAGCACCUCAAGUGGUCAGGAUGAUUAUUGGGCCUAAAGCAUCCGUAGCCCGUUUUGUAAGUUUUCGGUUAAAUCCAUGCGCUUAACGCAUGGGCUGCCGGGAAUACUGCAUAACUAGGAAGUGGGAGAGGUAGACGGUACUCGGUAGGAAGGGGUAAAAUCCUUUGAUCUAUUGAUGACCACCUGUGGCGAAGGCGGUCUACCAGAACACGUUCGACGGUGAGGGAUGAAAGCUGGGGGAGCAAACCGGAUUAGAUACCCGGGUAGUCCCAGCUGUAAACUAUGCAGGCUAGGUGUUUGGACGGCCACGUGCCGUUCUAGUGCCGCAGGGAAGCUGUUAAGCCUGCCGCCUGGGGAGUACGAUCGCAAGAUUGAAACUUAAAGGAAUUGGCGGGGGAGCACCACAAGGGGUGAAGCUUGCGGUUUAAUUGGAGUCAACGCCGGA